UAUUAUUAUCAUGCCAAUUUUUUUGUGUCAAACACGCAAAACCGGCCAGCAGCGGGACGGGUCACUGAUAGAGGCCGUUUUUGUAGAGAUGUGAUAGGAUAAUAUGAAAUGAACAAGACACAGACAAGAUAGAUGGCAACUUGUAC
ensembl:ncRNA T12G3.9 ncRNA